rnacentral:rRNA from 1 species
AACGAACGCUGGCGGCAGGCCUAACACAUGCAAGUCGAACGCCGUAGCAAUACGGAGUGGCAGACGGGUGAGUAACGCGUGGGAACAUACCCCUCGGUUCGGAAUAACUCAGGGAAACUUGAGCUAAUACCGGAUACGUCCGAGGUUUUAAUCGACCUUGGAGAAAGAUUUAUCGCCGGAGGAUUGGCCCGCGUCUGAUUAGCUUGUUGGUGAGGUAAUGGCUCACCAAGGCGACGANCAGUAGCUGGUCUGAGAGGAUGAUCAGCCACAUUGGGACUGAGACACGGCCCAAACUCCUACGGGAGGCAGCAGUGGGGAAUAUUGGACAAUGGCGAAAGCCUGAUCCAGCCAUGCCGCGUGAGUGAUGAAGGCCUUAGGGUUGUAAAGCUCUUUACCCGGGAAGAUAAUGACGGUACCGGGAGAA